AUCCACUGAGAAGUGAGAAGAUUGAUAAGGCAUUCUAGGAUGAAUGUGACUCCAAGGCUUCACUUUUGAGUUCUUGCAUUGUAAGCUCAGCUUCUGUCAGAGUGCUCUGUGAGUCACUCGCCAGAUCUAAUUGGAUGAUGUUUUGCUAUGGAUUCUAUUUUCCACAUGUUAGAAUGAUAGGAACAAUCUAAAAUUUACCUUUAAAAUUGAUGGUGAUUUACUUUAUCUGUAGUAGUGUAGAGCAAACAAGCAUUCAACUUUAGGGUGCAAAUUGUAGUAAUCUGGAUGUUUACUUUCUUCAUGGUGCUUCUCAUUCAGCUUUUGUGUAAACAUGCUAAAUUUUCUGCGCAUUCGGUUGCCCUUAUGGCUGGUGUACCAAAUGCACAGUCGAAAGAUAAUUGGUUUAUGUUUGGCAAUGAAAGUUGUACUCAUUUGUAAUGCGGCCUAGGCAUAUUUAUCUCAAGUCUUCUGUGUUUUUUGUUCAA